rnacentral:tRNA from 1 species
GGGGAUUUAGCUCAGUGGCACUGCACCUGCCUCACAAGCAGAAGGACGUGAGUUCAAUCCCCA